rnacentral:lncRNA from 1 species
AUUCUGAUCAUUCUGCAGGAAAAGCAUCUUUAAAUAUGAAGAAAUUACAAGGAUAGCAUGACCCAGUGACCUGUCACUGUGACUCAGCAACUUCAAACAAGAAAGAUUUCAGAGGUCUAGUCCACGGUCACUUGGUGGCUCAUCAGUGGAAGAGACAGAAAAGAGUUGGAAUCCCAAAGCCCACUUGAAGGGUACAUCCCCAAUGAUCUAAUUUCCUCCCAUCAGGUUCCUCCCCCACCUUCCCAAUGGCUCCACUGGGAGAGGUCAAGCCUUUAGCAUGUGGCUCAUACUGCCAAACCACAGACAACAUAGUUGUCAUUAUUCUAGAAAAAGGCAUAAAUCUCACACAAGCAUUUGUAAUGCACAUGGGGAAAACCCUGACCUAAACUGACCUGGGCAGAAUCAUCUGAAAUUCUGAGCCGGAACCAAUGGAGUUGAGUUGGAAUAUACACCAGCAACAAGUCACUAUAAGUGCUCUGCGGAGGCUAUGUUUGUCCCCCCUGAGAAAUGAAAGCAGAAAAGGCCAGUCAUCAGAGAGAACAAAGAAGUGAAUAUUGUAUCAGUUUCCUGUUGUUGCUGUAAAAACAUUACCACAAGCUUAGGACCCUAAAACAUGUAAGUAGAUUUGCUAGGACUGUGGGGCAGAAAUGUAAAAGGGGCUGACAGGACUAUGCUCCAGCAGGCUGCUGGGGAACUGCUGCCUUGCUUCCUCUACCCCCUGAAAGCUGCCUGAACUCCUGGAUGAAUAGAUGCACCACCCCUGCUCCCUAUGCUGCCUUUCUCCAGUCUCCCUCUCAUAAAGACCCUUACAAUCACGAUGGGCCCACCUGGUUAAUUCAGGACAGUCUUUCUAGUUCAAUAUAUUUAAUUUAAUCAUAUCUGCAACAUCUGAUUUGCCAUGUAAAAUGACAGUUUCAAAAAAUCUUAUGCAUUGGACAUCAGUGGGGGAAGGAAUGUCACUAUGCCUACCAAAAAAUUAUCCAGGGAGGUAAAAAGGUCAUAGGUAAAGAACAGGUUUCCACAGGCCUUUGCUUCCUGAAUUCCUACCCUUGGGUGCCAGGACACACCUUUACGUCUCUGUGAAGCCUCUUGGGUAACAGUUACCUGGAGUAUUUUAUUAAGAAUUCUAAAAGCUUAUAGAAUUUAUUUUACUUUAUCAUCAUCACCACCACCACCAUCAUAAUCACCAUCAUUGUUGUCGUGUGUAUGCACACAUGUGUUCCAAGUUGUUGUAAGCUGCCUGAUGUAGGUUUGGGGAACUAAGCUUAGAUCCUCUGCAAGAGCAGCUGGUGCUCUUGACUGCUGAGCCAUCUCUCCAGGCCCCCUAAACUUAUAGGAAUGACAACACCAAUGAACAGUAUCUUCCCUGGAUAUUGUUCUAACUAA